rnacentral:rRNA from 1 species
GAUGAACGCUGGCGGCGUGCCUAAUACAUGCAAGUCGAGCGAACGGACGAGAAGCUUGCUUUUCUGAUGUUAGCGGCGGACGGGUGAGUAACACGUGGAUAACCUACCUAUAAGACUGGGAUAACUUCGGGAAACCGGAGCUAAUACCGGAUAAUAUUUUGAACCGCAUGGUUCAAAAGUGAAAGACGGUCUUGCUGUCACUUAUAGAUGGAUCCGCGCUGCAUUAGCUAGUUGGUAAGGCAACGGCUUACCAAGGCAACGAUGCAUAGCCGACCUGAGAGGGUGAUCGGCCACACUGGAACUGAGACACGGUCCAGACUCCUACGGGAGGCAGCAGUAGGGAAUCUUCCGCAAAGGGCGAAAGCCUGACGGAGCAACGCCGCGUGAGUGAUGAAGGUCUUCGGAUCGUAAAACUCUGUUAUUAGGGAAGAACAUAUGUGUAAGUAACUGUGCACAUCUUGACGGUACCUAAUCAGAAAGCCACGGCUAACUACGUG